AACAUACCUAUCCGUUGUUGGGUCAAAAUGUCCCACCUCCCACCUCCCAUGAUUUGCUAACCUCCCCGUACCCACCUUCACAGUAUCCACAGAAAAAAAUCUCCACAUUAUCUCAACCUCCUCCGUCCAAGAAGCACGCCGCCAAGCAAAUCUCUUCUCUCCGUGACCACAACGUUGCCGCCGCCGCCACCUCUGAUUCUGGCUUGCUCCGGCGCUUGUUGCGCCGCCGCUCACAGAAACGGCUACUCCUCACUGCCCUCCCCUUGAUCCCCCGCCAUGGCGACUUCCUCCGCGCCCCUACAUGCGGGCCACAGCAACCCUAGUUACCAUAGGUCGCCAGCGGCCGCGCCUCAUCCGCUUUGUCACCCUACAGCCCCGCGCUACGUCUCUGCACGCGCCGCUCCAAGCUCGGCCAUGGUGGUGCUGAUCCGCCUCAGCAAUCUUGACUCCGACGCCGCUGACGAUUCAGCAAGACUCUCCUCCUCUGACCCGCUCUUCUCUUACACUAUUUGGUUCUUUCUGUGGCAGGUCAUGGCGAAUUCUUUGCCGCCCAAUCUGACGACAAUCGACGCUACCUUGAUUACUCAUCUUGAUCCACAUCCCAGCAACGACAUCAAUGUCGCUGCACUUGUUAAUCAGAGGAUGCCUAACAUGACAGUAAUGAUCUGCGUGGGGUGUUAAUCGGAGAGACGAGAUGGCUAUAUCUUUCAGAAUAUUUUCACUGGUGGCAUGUUCGUCUGCUGGAAGCAAUUCGCCUAGAGGGGAAAGGGCGUCCGUUGUACCGGAGUUACAGGUGUUGGCCUCUAGCUUGCUGUCAAAGACAUGCUCUUGCAGGGAACCAGAGCAAUGCUUUAAUUCUUGCGAACGCAUCAAUGCAAUGCAAGGGAUUUUUGUUGGUCUGCAGCAGCUUUGUGUAACAAAAUGCACACCUGAAUGUAAUAUGACACAAUCAGUUUCCAUUAUCUUAGUUCAAGUUUUCUAUUUGUGAGUGUGGCACCCCGAUCCGCAUGGAGCAGGAGGCCUUCGCACGUCAGCCCAGGAUUACGCCUGACGCACGACAGGUCCAUGAUACAGCAUUCCAGCCCUAAGGCUAUUUACAUGGCAGCGGAAGUCCAUAUAAAUGGCGGCGGAAGUCUUGGUUUGGCAGCGUCUUAUUAAGGCUGGGCUCCAUAACGCACAGGACUGGCAUGAUUACGACCUAGCACGACGGAACAAGCGAACGACCUACAAAACUGGCAUGACACGCCAGGUCAGUACAUUGAAUGUACUUGCAAGACAACCAAAUACAUAGCAUCCAAACAAACAGAAGACAAAGCAAGAACCAAGCAUAUGCAACAGUCUACAUCAACACAACUUCUAAGCAUGGCAUGAUAUUAACUAGAAUCAUAAUUCAAACUAGGCAUGAACAACAUCAUAGCAUCAACUAUCAUGGCAUAUCAAACUUACUUCUAUCAUAACAACAGCAAAGCAUAGCAUAUCAAAACGGGGCAUGGCAUCAUGAAACUAUGCUGAAAAUAAACUACCAGUUACCUCCCAUGAAGACAUGUUGUAAUAACCUUAUGCCACAAUCACUUACUCUGCCACGGCUCCUUGGAGCAUAAUCGUGACUUACCAAGACCUCGUUUCGGGGUCAUAUCAACACAUCAUCGUGACUUCUCAUGAUUAUUUCAUAGUCCAAGCCAUCACAUUAGUUAUCACAUCUUAGUUAUCACAUAAUUUAUUAGCUGAUUUAUCCUCCAUUUCGACCGAGACCCGAUAGUGUGACCUACUACGAACCUGUGCCCAUGACCGAGGAUGCGGCUAUCGAUAGAUUGAAUACACUCUGCAGAGGUAGCGCACUUUACCCACACUACGGAACCCUGGUCUCGCGCUCACAUACGUGCGGACCAAAGCGUUCCGACAAAACUGAUCUACUGCCAUGACGCCCUCCCGGCCACUCCGACCAACACCCAUUAAGGGUUCGGUCCUGGGUGGCCCCGUACCUACCAAAGGUACCAACGGCCACCGUCGUGGCAAAACGGUCCCAAAUGGGGACAUGAGCUCAAAACCAAACCCGGGCACACAAGGCUUAUGUCCACCUGCCUGAUCAGGGUAAGCGUGCCCAUAACCUUCCCUCGCGGGAGGCACCGGCGAGAGGCAUGACAAUAGACCCAGCUAGGACCUUCCGACAAGGUAAAUGUGGUUGCACUGGAGAAAGCUCGAUUUGGUGGCACUAUGAUAUCCCAGUGAUGGCGGAGGAGGUUUGUUAUUAAGUCAUAUUAUUAACUUCUCCACCAUCAUCAACAUUAUGAGCAUAUUAAACAAGAAUGCAACAAUGAACAUGCAACUAACAAAUGCAUUAACAAAUAUCAAGCUACUCCAGUGAACAGUUAUAGCAUAUGAAACAUAACAAUACUAGAUACUAGCUUAUUGAAGGUGCAACAAAAUCAUCAUAACAUCAAGACUACUGGCAUGAACUAAACUAGACAGAGGCAUGAUAUUAUCAACAACAAUAUAACUAGCAUGGCAAAAGCUAUCAUGAGAGGUAAGCAAGCAGUACUAACAUAUAUCACAACUGAAAUAACGGCAGACGAAACAGACAAAAACUACUGCAACUAAGCACACACGCGAGGUACCAGCAAAUUCAACAUGCGAGUUUGGGGCUCAUGAUAAGAGGUUGGCUUGCCUGGGGUCGAGGAUUACUCCGAAAAAAGUGCGAACGAUCGCGGAAAGAUUUGUCGGAAACAGUUCUCUCUCGGAGGGGGCUGUUUACGGGAAAGGGAAAAAUGGUCACUUUUAGAAUGUGCAAACAUGGUGAAAAUGAUUCCAUCAGAACGGGCUCGACGAAACGAAGACGUGGGCUUUGAAAUCACCUGAUUUGGAGCUACGGGUAAAAAGAUACGGAGGGUUGAAGCUCAAGGACCUAUCGGUGAAAUUUUUUCAGCAAACAGGCCCCUGGAGGAAAAACUGAACGUGCCUUUGGGCCGAAUACGUUUUCCGCACAGGGAAACGCAUUUUGAGCCGAAGUGCCCAGGGAAUACGUUUUCUGACUUGGAAAGCGUAUUCACGAGGAAUACGUUUCCAGAGUAGGGAAAUGGCUUCCGCGGGCGGGCGCGUCCACUUAUUCGACGUGAUUAGCGGGGCCACGCCUUCCUCUCACCGACAGGUGGGUCCCGUAAGGUGGGGCCCGCCUGGCCUGGCUUCUUCCUCCUGCGCGUACGCGCGCCUGGCCGAGGGAGACGCCCGCCUCCACUGCGAUUGCCGGCGGCUCCGGCCGCCUCAGACGACGGCCGACCUAUCCACGAGCUCAGGAGCAAGAGGCGCAUCCCGUGGUGGUGUCCGUUGCCGGCGAGGAGCACGGGAGAAGGAGCAGCAGGGCUCGCGGCAGAGGUGGUCUUCGGACUCCAGCGAACAGGGGGCUCCGGUGGGGGAACUAGGUGGGCAAGGCUACGGGGAGGUGCGCCGGACCUCGGGGAACGCAUAGGUGGUGGUGGAACGGCGAGGGGGGCACGGCAUUGCCGAGAUCGAGCAGAGCCUGAAACUGCGGCCAUGGCGAUGGUGGGGAUCGGAGAGCGACUCCGGGGACGAGUGAAGUGCUUGGGGAGGCUUGAGGACUGCGAGGGAGCUCGGGACGGGCUUAAAUAGCCGCGGGGAUGUGCUCUAGGGGAGGGGAGGAGGUGACACGCGGCACGGCUACGUGUCCGCGCGCCGGCGACAUGCAUGCACGGCCAAAGGCCACGGGAAACGAUGGUGACACGACGAGGGGGAUGCGGACGACGCGCAGGGGCUCACGGAGACGAGGGGCGCUCGCGGAUGAGAGGGAGAAGGGGACAAGAACGAGGAAGACGACGGUGCACGGGCGUGCACUGUGCUCAGCGACGGCGAUGGCUCAACGAGGAAGCAAACGAAGGGGGAAACGGGCCAAGGCGCACGGCGACGAUGAGGCUGAGCUGGUUGACAAGCUUGGACAAGCCAGAGCUAGCCGGAGAUGCACUACUGUGGCCAGCAGUGGCUAGACCACCGAUUUGGCUGGCACUGCCCGUGGUCACCACCGACAACGCAUAAUCUGGUCGUCUACUUGGUGCCAAAUGAUGUCUACAGCGUAGUCCCUCCAACGCUCAUUAAGACUGAAGUGAUGGAACGAGCAAAGGUGUAGUGAGCAGAGGGAAACAGGCUCGACAAGUUUGCUGUUGCAAACUUGGCAACAUCCUGGCGAUCAACACAGAAAGGUUAAGGGCAAAACUGGUCGUCUAGGAGGUUUAGUAUAGCAAGGACUACGGUCCUGGAAAGUUGGAAGGGAUUUGGGCAAGGAUUUAGCAUAGCUGCAGUUCAAAUGCCAAAUCUGACCCAGAAAGCAAAUGAUGAAGAAGCACUCACUAGGAGUGAUGGAUUGGGCUAAAACUUGGCAAAGCUUCCUUAUUUGGUCAUAUGUAGAUGCUGCAAAAAUAUCAUACCAAAUGGACUUGCCAAAUUGGUACUUGUUUCACAAGCAUCAGAUCUCACCAGAAAUUUGGAAAAAUCCAGGAAAAUACUGGCUACAUGAAAUGAGCCAAAAUUGGUUGGAGAUAGGUUGUAUGGAGAGGAGAAGGCUUAGGAAUAUUUUCAGCCAUAAUGGAGCAAGAUAAAAUAGACUUGCUUCACAAACUGAAAAUUUGGACAGAAACCAAGAAUUGCUCCUAUGUUCACAUAGUUCAAUGAAUUGAACUGAAUUUAGGUGGAGGCUAAUGAUUUGGAAUACUUGAGAGGAUGAAAAAGUUUCAUCCCAUUUGAAAACUCUAUGAAGGUACUUCCUUCACAAAGUUACAUUCUGGUCAGAAACUUUGGAAAAUGGCAUAGGGAGCUAAGAUGAAUGGAUUGAGCUCAUCUUUGGUAUUCAUGUGUGAUUUAUGAAGGUUAAUCACCCUACCAAAUUGCAGCUCAAUUGGAAUUAGGAAUAAAGCACUUCCUUUGCAAAAUUUCAGAGAAGGCAGAAACUUGCAUUGGAUCAUGUGCCAAAAUUUUGAACUAUGGAACAUGGAACAAGGAUGGAACUUGUGAUUAUAUAGCAAGGGCAAGCUCCACAAUUUAUGUGAGAAUUUUCCCUACUAUAAAAAUAGUAGUUCCUUUAGGAAGUGGCAGAAAUGCAAUAUUGGUAUUAAAUAGUAAAAGGCAUUUUUCCAUAUUUAAUUAUGGCCAAUAUCUUUGCCAUAGCUUGGAUUAGACAUAAAUAUCAACUCCACCAAUUCUCAUGAAUCUUGGAGAUGGCUAGAUAUGCCUUUGAAUUUUAUCCCUCGGAAAGGCAAGAAAAGGAAUAAAUCAUAAUUCAAAAAUAUUGCAUGGGACUUGGCAAUAUUUUUGCAUAUCCAAGGUUUACAAGGAUAGGAGGUUCUCAGGGAACAGAUGGGAUGAUCAACAGAUCAAGGAAAAUGAUAGCUCCUUUGUAAUCACAAAGGCCAUCUUUAAAUUCCAACAAUUUGGAAUUAGGGUUUGAGAGGGUUUGAGCUGAGGCAAAUGAGGUCUUGCCCACUGAAAAAGACAUGAGCAAGGUUUUGAAAGGUUGGAAAUGGCAAAAAUUUCUCAGAGUCAUCCAGCAAACUCAGGAGAAAAUUUUGAAAAUGAGUGCCAGGAAGGAAUAACAACUCAAAAAUUGAUAACCCAAUUUUGGGGCUGUUACAAACCUUCCGCCCUUAAAAAGAAUCUCGUCCUCGAGAUUCCUAGGGUUACAGCACAAUUGCAAAGAUAACUACUCCGGGGAAAAGCCUCGGGGUUAAUUUUAACCCUUUGGUCGGAUUCGAACGAGUUGGGGCACCGAUAAGUGGUACACCCAGGGAGAGAUAUGGGCAAACACGGUUAUAUCCACGGGUACGGGCACUCGAGAUCAGACUCCCGAAAAAUGCUGGAUGCACCCCAAUGAACAGUGGUUUCACCUGCUGACACGUGGGUCCAGGGCCCACUGGCAGGCUCCUUCUACCUCCGGCUAGUUGCUUCUCCUAUGAUGCUGCUCCGCGUGUGGCUUGGCGCAGCGCGCAUCUAGCUCCUAGGGCGAUGAGGACCCUAGUGUCGUAGUGCGCGGCGUGCACGACACUGGUGCAGCGAGCACUCAUGUCGCGGGCCAGCACCAUGUCGGUACUGCUCGCGGAUUCGCCUCCUGGACGCCAGUGAUCGAGCGACGAGCGGUUUUCCUGGACCUCGCUCAUCGUACACCGGAGUUGGGCUAUAAAAACGGCAGCGCGACUCUCCUCCAAUGCACAAACACAAUGCCGCUCUACUACCUAUUCGGUUUGGACGAAAUCGAGCCGAGCUCCUUCGGCGAGGUUGUGUUCCUGGUGGCGUUGCGGUGGUUCCUAGCUGCACUGCUGGGCACUCUGAUUGGCUCGUCGAUCAUCCUGCUGAUGAUCAUCAUGUAUGAGCGAGCUCGAGGCAACGCGCGGCCAGCUGCGGUGGCUCGAGGUGUGGAAGAAGAUGGUGCACGGGGUGGUCCUCUGCCACGCUUGAUCCUCCAUCGUGUUGCGCCGGCGGAGUAAUCGCGUGCUGCGGUGGAACGGUGGUGGCGAUCUACCUGCGCCACUCAAGGCGGUGACGGUGGUGAUGGUUUGGUUCGGAUGCGGGUGAGGGGGAUGUGCCAGCUCAGGAAUCAGACUAGGACACGGGAAAAUUUCGCGGAUUGCUCCACGAAAUGUAGGUGUCAGGGUAGAGGCGGAGUUGAAAUAUGUAUCGGGGGGUUGUACUAGAUCGAGUGAAAUAAAGCUGGCAACGUUUCUCCUAAAAUGCAAUUGGGUUAACGAAAAAGAAUUAGGGACGAGAAAUGGCCAAAUGAAAAUGCCUCUUCGAGGCGCUGUGUUUGGAAAAUCUGGCACACGGGGUAUGCACAGAUAGAGAUAGGGAUGUGACUUUGCGUUUUCCCCGAGUACUGCCCUAAAUGCACUCGUGGGUGAACCGGGUAUGUGUGCAGUAUGCAAUGCAGUCUAAACUAACAACACACAGGUGCAAUAAACAUGCAAUGAAAAACACAUCAGACAAAUAAUACUAAGGUGUUUUAAUGCUAGUGGGUAUAUGUACUCCUGGCAUACAUAUACCUACACCAGCGCGCAUUUUAUUAAAGACUUGGGACGAGCCAAUGUUAUUUAGUGUAUGUGAUCUACUGAUUAAAAUCUCGUUAGCACACAUUGCCAACCCUGUCAAACAUCUCUGUUUGACGGAGAGACAAACAAAAACAAGCACAAAAAUUCAAAAGCAAGCAAGCAUACACAAACACAUUACGGGUUACAAACAGUACAACAAAGCACGAACGCUCUACGCGCUAAACGAAACUACUCACUCCAGGAUACAUAGUUCUAUCCUCAUAUCGGAGAUGAACCGACUGACUGACCUACUCGCAGAGUCAUCUCACUGCGUGACUGAGGUCAUGCAGAGGACUGGCCUUGCUGGGGCUCUCCGGGAGGACAAAGACUGAGCCAAUCUCCAUCUUCAACGUCCGACACUACUAUGGGUUGGGGUUCGACUGCUGGAGGUGUGGCUAAAAUUGAUCCAAGCAGAUGCUGCUGAUGGAUCCAGAAAAGAGACUUGUCGAGGGUGAUGAUGUUGGGUCUAGGCCACAACACAGGCUAAGAGGGUAGCACUGGUUCGGAUGGCAUGGGGUGAACGGCUUGAGAUGCGAAUUUACGAGCCUCAUGGUAAGCUUCCUUAACAACUCGUACCGCAUCGUCGUCCAGGGUUCUAAAUUCGGCGAGCAUCUUAGAAAUCAUCAUCCCCUGGGCAGUGAUAUAUUGCACCAGGCGAGCGAUUGCGGGGUCAUCUCCUUGGAUAGUGGGAGAAGACUGAAUUCCUGCUUCUGUCACCACGGGGAAAAAGCAGAACUCCCGCCUCUCUGCCACUUGCGGGAUCUUGGUUUAGAGGUAUAGGAUAGCUUCCACAGCAGCGGCCUGAAUGGCUAAAUCAGAGGUAGGCGUGGCUCUACCCUGAAAAACCAAAGGCUAGCCAUCUACUGCGGGACCUAGGCUGAUGCGCACUCUUGCAUCAUAGCGGUGAAGGUGAGGGACGGCCGUCGAUUGGAACACCAGGUAAUCGGGGCUAGCCUUAUAGCCAAAGGCUUUGGUGAGCAUCUCGGUAAGAAGGGGUGGGAAGCCAGGGUGGUUGACGGCAAAGGUGCAGGUGUAAAACUUGGGAGCUUUGAAGGUGCUAGUCAUGGCUGGGGAGCUACUAGCUAAGCUUUUCUGCAGGGACAUGGCUGACUGAGGGGUGAGCGAUACGGCUAGCAGAAAGGGGGAUUUUAUAGGCGGCUAUGCGGGACAUGCCCGCAUGGUGUGGCCCCUUUUCCUUAAUGGUGAAGGGUACGCGGUGCGGCCGACCAGAAAGGAUAGGGUUGCUAUUCAAUCCACGUAUAACUAGGCGGGGACAGCGGGGUAAGGACGUGUUGGUCCCGACUGCGCCACCUGUAGAUUAACAGUGGCCAUGACGGAUGCCAGGGAUGGGUCAAAUCCCUUAGGGUCAUUAUGGGUUGAUGGUAGCGGUGAUCUAAUGCUAGGAUAACCUAUGCCAGCCUGGCUGCUCUGAUACCAUCUCCUGUGGCACCCUGAUCCGCAUGGAGCAGGGGGCCUUCGCACGUCAGCCCGGGAUUACGCCUGACGCACGACAGGUCCAUGAUACAGCAUUCCAGCCCUAAGGCUAUUUACAUGGCAGCGGAAGUCCAUAUAAAUGGCGGCGGAAGUCUUGGUUUGGCAGCGUCUUAUUAAGGCUGGGCUCCAUAACGCACAGGACUGGCAUGAUUACGACCUAGCACGACGGAACAAGCGAACGACCUACAAAACUGGCAUGACACGCCAGUGGCGCACUGCCAGUCAGUUCCAGUACUGAACAAUGGGCAGGGUGGUGGUCGUUCAUGCUAUAACAAUGUCAUAGAAGGCAUCCUCGGGAAGUUCAUAGAGAAGCUUGUCAUCCAGCAUGAAGGGUGAUGAAGACGAAGAUGAUGCAUGGCUAAGUUGUUGAUAGGAAAGGUGUAGAAUGGGGCUAAUACAAGAUAGUUUUAGAUUUACCUUAUACAAUGUCAUUUUCAUGCUUAAUAUGUAGGAGAUCAUGUACUAUCUUUUUCAGAUUGUGUUCCAUGUAAUGCAACCGAGUUGAUUAAAUAUAUGAAAUCUUUCUGUUUA